UACGGGAGGCAGCAGUGGGGAAUAUUGCACAAUGGGCGAAAGCCUGAUGCAGCUAUGCCGCGUGUAUGAAGAAGGCCUUAGGGUUGUAAAGUACUUUCAUCGGGGAGGAAAAACAAAACUAAUAAUUUUAUUUCUUGACGUUACCCGAAAAAGAAGCACCGGCUAACUCCGUGCCAGCAGCCGCGGUAAUACGGAGGGUGCUAGCGUUAAUCAGAAUUACUGGGCGUAAAGAGCACGUAGGUGGUUUUUUUAAGUCAGAUGUGAAAUCCCUGGGCUUAACCUAGGAACUGCAUUUGAAACUGAAAUAACUAGAGUAUCGUAGAGGGAGGUAGAAUUCUAGGUGUAGCGGUGAAAUGCGUAGAUAUCUGGAGGAAUACCUGUGGCGAAAGCGGCCUCCUAAACGAAUACUGACACUGAGGUGCGAAAGCGUGGGGAGCGAAACAGGGAUUAGAUACC
rnacentral:rRNA from 1 species